rnacentral:rRNA from 1 species
GACGAACGCUGGCGGCGUGCUUAACACAUGCAAGUCGAACGGAAAGGCCCCUUUGGGGGUACUGGAGUGGCGAACGGGUGAGUAACACGUGAGUAACCUGCCCUUGACUUCGGGAUAACUUCAGGAAACUGGGGCUAAUACCGGAUAGGAAUCCUUGCUGCAUGGUGGGGGUUGGAAAGCUUCGGCGGUUUUGGAUGGACUCGCGGCUUAUCAGCUUGUUGGUGGGGUAGUGGCUUACCAAGGCUUUGACGGGUAGCCGGCCUGAGAGGGCGACCGGCCACAUUGGGACUGAGAUACGGCCCAGACUCCUACGGGAGGCAGCAGUGGGGAAUAUUGCACAAUGGGCGGAAGCCUGAUGCAGCAACGCCGCGGGCGGGAUGACGGCCUUCGGGUUGUAAACCGCUUUCAGCAGGGGCGAAGCUUGUGGUGACGGUACCUGCAGAAGAAGCACCGGCUAACUACGUG